rnacentral:tRNA from 1 species
CGGGCUGGCUGCUGGUCGAGGGCCCGGGCUUCAA